AAUAGCACAUGUACUGUACCGAGGUUGGUACCAAUAAAUGUUUAGUAACGAUGAAAAUGCAACAUAUAAUAGGAGAUAGUCCAUUCUCUCCUUAUCACUGGAACAUUGUUGAAUGGAUUUUAUAAACGUGUCAUGAUACAAACUGCCAUCAUAUUCUUUCAAUCCAGUCUGUCACUUCAGCACAUUCUUUUUGUAACAGGACAAUAGCAGCUGCUAGCAUAGAUUAGGAGCAUUCAUUCAGCAAUGGGAAAACAUACUGACUAUAAUACCGUUUACCAUGUAUUUAUUUUAAAAUUUUAC